GAAUUAAUGCUAGUGGUAAUAUGAAUUAUAGUGACAAAAUAUUGAUUUAUUCCAGAUUUUGACUGUUGGGUUAUUGAAUAAAGUACUAUUCUAUUCUAUUUCCAAAACAGCUACUGCUACUUCUGGCUUACAUCAGUUCACUAAGUGGGCACCUUUACCACUUGGCUUGUGAGUGGUCCAGCCUGAAAGAACCUGUUUACAAUGUGACGGAUGCUAGGAUUGGACAAUGACUGUUUGGGGGCCGACUUUUACGAAAGUAGAGGGAGCCCUAAUACCUGUCCUGGCAAUUCCUUAUUUGGUCAGCAAGAGGAGCUGGUUCGGACUUUUGUCAGGAAAGAAUUGAUGUUGUCAUUACCUUGUCAUGAUCCAUCCAAACUUGUUGGUGUGUUGCACAGUGGUCACAGGAAUGCAUCCAAACUCAGUGACUGUCAUCAUGU